rnacentral:lncRNA from 1 species
CUCACUAACCACUAUCUGUACUCCUGUGAUCACCCUCAGGGUUGCUCUGGAGUCAGCAUUGUGUCUCUGGUCCCAAGUGUCCUUUCCUGCAACCUCUUGCUUUGCUGGGGAAUGUGGAUGCCUCUUCCAAGGGAACAGCAUGUUCUCUGGCCUGUUCACAGCCAGCUUGGUUACGUGAUGUCCCUGUGUGGGGUGUGGUGGAUGCCAGCAACAGUGUCCAGUCCCAAGCCUGACACCAGAGCCUCAGGGCUUCUGUCUACGUCUCUCUUGUGCUGUUAACUCUGGAGGGUGAGAAAUGUUGGGGGAAUGGGUACUCAGCCUGCAGCCUGCCUCCUCCAGACCACUGAAGCAAGACUGGGGUACAGGACUGCCACCAGGAGUCACUACAUCCAUGGAUGUAUGUUAGGAAAAAACUAGCUGAUAAAUUAUUUAAAAAUUUUUUAAAAAUAAAAUUUAUUUUAAUGCAUACACAAAACAUAAAAUGAUGCAUAUUAAUGGCAUAUCAUGAUGUUUCAACACACACGUGAUGUCUUUAGGUUAAAUAUAUCUAUCUCCUCAAAUACUGAUUGUUUCUUAUGAUGGAGACAUUGAAAGCCGAGUGGCCCUCAAUGUGUCUGUCUUUUUUGAAUCCACCCUUGUGAUCCCCUGUGCUAUAGCAUGCUGGGUCUUUCACCCCAACUACUGAAACUUCAUGGCGGUUAACCAGCCUGUCUCUGCCUCCCUGGUCCCCGCCUCCCUGGCCCCCUUCUCUCCUUCCCCUCUUCCCCUCCUCCCACCUCCAGUCCCCACUGGCCUGAGAUGGUGCAGCUCCUUUAAGUCAUUCAUUCUUGUGCUCUUUGUUUGUUUGUUUGUUUUUUGGUACCGAGGAUCAAACUUGGGUCCUUGCGCUUGCUUGUGCAGCAGGCAGCGAAACCACUGAGCUAAAUCCCUGGCCCUCUCGUCCUCUUUGUAUAGAAACACCCCCUUCACCUGUGAUGUUUGCAGGUGUCCCCACAAUCUUCCUUGAUUGGGAUUGGUGGGUGUGUACGUGCAUGUGCACAUGUGUGCCUUUCCUCUGUGUAAAGCUUGGUCAUUGAGCUCAUGCUUGUCAUUCUUUGACUUCAGGUCACUCGUGGGUUCUCUACUCCCCAUCUGUGCAGGCUCGCCAGGUUCUCCCAGGUGCUGCUCUUCUGUGGUGGCUGCUGUGGGCUUUAUUGUGGGGUAAAAGGAAGGUGCGGACCUCAUAUGGAAAUGAAGUUUCAGUUGACUCCAUAACCAGUGAUUCCUCUUCUGCCUACCAGUUUGAGUGCAGAUCUGCAGCAAAUGUGUGGGACUUUUCAACUGGGGUUGGAAUUCAUGGAACUGUGGGUGCAGCUCAGGGCCAGAGCCCUUGCCUAACAUGUGUGGGGUCCUGAGUUGGAUCCCCAUACCAUGACACACACUCAGCAUCACCCGGGGUUGGCUCACACACCCUGUGGUCACCUUCUCUUCUGUCAGUGGCACUGGGCGUUUAUCCCUGCAUCCUCCCACUGGGCUCUAGGGCUCUGUGCUCAGGCACCCAGUGCUCAUCCAGGCAGGGCUCAACAUCAGCCAAGUGGACCUGUGGCACAAAGCCUUGAGGACCUCCAGUCCUCACCCUCCCCAACUCUGCUGCAGAGCUGCCAUUUCCUUCUUCAGCCGUGCAACUCUGUCCUGACGUACUUUCCACCCCUCUAACUCCCGGAGUCCUGCUGGGACGUUGCUGCCGGUCACCACCAGAGGGCAGGGCACCUGGACAGAGAGUGUACACUGCCCCUUUGGGUCGAAGUGAAUUAGGACUGUGACUUAAGGUGAGUACUUACAGCUUCCUUUUUUAUGUCCUUUGAAAGCAUUUCCAUAACACAGGGCGUGCGGGUCAGCCCUGGGUGAUGCUGAGUGUGUGUCGAUUAUUCAUGGUUGCUCCAGCCUCUUGGCUCCCCUCACCCUUGGUUUCUUCUUUCCACUCCUCCCAGUUUUCACCAGUACCACAUGGUUCCUGUCACCACUGUUUGUCUCCCCUGGACUUUUCUACAGAUGGAAUCACCCGGCUACUUCCAGUGAGACAGUGCCCACCCAAGCUGCCUGCGGGCGUCAGUUGUCCACUUGUUAAUGAGCAGACCCUAUUGUGUGCUGAGCCACAGCCUGCACACCCACCCGGGGGCACGGGAUUGCUGUGAGAAAUAACAAUGCUGUGAGUGUUGAGACAGGACUUGGCAGGGUCAGGUAUGGAUGACCAUGGGGAGAGGUGUGAAUGGCUAACUCCACAGGACACUGCUUCUGUCCCCAGAGUGGCUAUACCUGAGCCUCUUUGUCUGCAGGAUGGGCACCCUGGCUGCUCACCCCUGGGGGCACAGGGUCUUGCCCGAGUUGCCAAGUUCAGUCUCUAAGAAGUGCGCAGAGUCUCCUUUUGGAUCUUGACUUGGGUCCUUGGUGGCAGUGAUGUUGACCUCCAUGUGUCAUUGGCCAUCUCUGUUGUCAUUGGUGAACGUCUGCUCUCCCCUUCUCUCCAGCCAUGAUUUAUUACAUAAGGCAGGGACCCAGUGUCUGGGAAUGUCAUUACCCUGGUUGGGAGUGGUCUAGGUGGAGACAGACCCCAGAAAGAGUGUCCAUGUUGUCCCACAGUGCAAUGCUCCUAGCCCAUGAGGCCACAUGGGCCACAUAAAUGGGACAUGUGGUCUCCCAUGAGACACUACUGGUGAGGACACAACCAGUAUCGCCACGCUGGAGACAGUGAGCAGGUCUGGACCAGGCUGGGAAAACCCUGCUUGCCUUCCUUUUAGGACUGUUUGUCCACUGAUGGGAGGUCAGCUGAAGUCAUUAUAAUAUGUGCAAGGUUUGAAUCUUUGUGACAACUCCCUGGAUGUAGCCAGGCUCUGGUGUGGGGCCCUGGCUGGCCUGACCUGGUGGUGGGGAAGGUGUCCCAGUUCUGUCAGAGGCUCCAUUUCCCUCUCUUCCCCCUCCUCUCUGGCUGACUUCUCCCCAGGGCCUGGUGGGAUGCACUGAAGGGCAGUGUCCCCUCCAAGAUGCCUCUGUCUUGGCUGUGCCCCACCUCCUCAUAGAAUCUAACUCUCAUGAUGGUCUGCAGAGGCUGGGAGGCUCAGCAGUGCCCUGCACAGGUCAGAAGUGGUGACUCAGAUAGGAAUGCAUAUUCUGAACACGGGAAAACCAUCUACACAGUAGAAGAAAAAGAUCAGCAAUCCAAGGAGGAAGUGCCCACAUUGUGAGUCACCAGCUCCUGGGAGAGAAAGCUAAUGAGCAUGUGGACACGUGCUAACUUGAGGACAGACAACAAAACAAAAUGUUUUAAUGAAAGAAUGUCCCUUGAUAGCUGGCGUAAUAAAUCUUUAGCAGAACCACAGUAACUUUCACCUUUGAGUCAGCAUGGAGACAGACUGGUAAGCAAACAGCACCCACGCAUGGCAACACAAGCGCGCCUCCUGGAGGUGUUGUGAAGUCAGCAUCUGGUACUGUGUGAAUGUCUUCAGGGCCUCAGUGGUCCCAAACUUGGUGUCAAGUCCUUUGAAUUUUCUUCCAAAGUUAAAAAGCCACUGUCUGCUAUGUUUUAGUCUGAGUCCUGUGCCUGUAACAAAUACUUCGGCUUUUAUUGCCAGAUGUCUAAAAGGUGGUAAGAUUUUAAUUAGUAGUCAAUAAAAG